AGAGUUUGAUCCUGGCUCAGGAUGAACGCUGGCGGCGUGCCUAAUACAUGCAAGUCGAACGCUUUGUGCUUAAUUUGAAAUGACGAGCUUGCUCUGAUUUGAUUUUUUGAUUUCAAAGAGUGGCGAACGGGUGAGUAACACGUGGGUAACCUACCUCUUAGCAGGGGAUAACAUUUGGAAACAAGUGCUAAUACCGUAUAAUACCAACAACCGCAUGGUUGUUGGUUGAAAGAUGGUUCUGCUAUCACUAAGAGAUGGACCCGCGGUGCAUUGGCUAGUUGGUAAGGUAAUGGCUUACCAAGGCAAUGAUGCAUAGCCGAGUUGAGAGACUGAUCGGCCACAAUGGGACUGAGACACGGCCCAUACUCCUACGGGAGGCAGCAGUAGGGAAUCUUCCACAAUGGGCGCAAGCCUGAUGGAGCAACGCCGCGUGUGUGAUGAAGGGUUUCGGCUCGUAAAACACUGUUAUAAGAGAAGAACGGCACUGAGAGUAACUGUUCAGUGUGUGACGGUAUCUUACCAGAAAGGAACGGCUAAAUACGUGCCAGCAGCCGCGGUAAUACGUAUGUUCCAAGCGUUAUCCGGAUUUAUUGGGCGUAAAGCGAGCGCAGACGGUUAUUUAAGUCUGAAGUGAAAGCCCUCAGCUCAACUGAGGAAUUGCUUUGGAAACUGGAUGACUUGAGUGCAGUAGAGGAAAGUGGAACUCCAUGUGUAGCGGUGAAAUGCGUAGAUAUAUGGAAGAACACCAGUGGCGAAGGCGGCUUUCUGGACUGUAACUGACGUUGAGGCUCGAAAGUGUGGGUAGCAAACAGGAUUAGAUACCCUGGUAGUCCACACCGUAAACGAUGAGUGCUAGAUGUUCGAGGGUUUCCGCCCUUGAGUGUCGCAGCU
rnacentral:rRNA from 1 species